rnacentral:tRNA from 1 species
GGGUCCAUAGCUCAGCUGGAUAGAGCAACAGCCUUCUAAGCUGUAGGUCGCAGGUUCGAAUCCUGCUGGACUCGCCA